CGGGGUGUAGCACAGAGGUAGUGCGCUCGGUUCGGGACCGAGAGGUCGUAGGUUCAAAUCCUAUCACCCCGACCA
rnacentral:tRNA from 1 species